rnacentral:lncRNA from 1 species
UUGGGCAUCUUAUCUGUUGGUGUGAGGUAUCACAUCAUCAUAUUUCAUCUCUCGAUUGAUUGAGUUAUAAAGUCAAUUAGAUUGGAGUUCAUCCUACUUUCCUGCGGUGUCUGACAUACAUGUGAAGUAGAGGAUUUGCAUAUCCAGACCUCCACAAAGGUUUAUAUCAGAUAAUUUGAGAUUUGAUCUCUAGUUCUACUAUAAUUCAGGUAAAUAUUUGAUCUAUAAAUAAG